GACGAACGCUGGCGGCGUGCUUAACACAUGCAAGUCGAACGGAAAGGCCCUGCUUUUGUGGGGUUCUCGAUUGGCGCACGGGGGUGUAACACGUGAGUAUCCUGCCCUUGUCUUUGUGAUAACUUUAGGAAACUGCGGCUCUUACCGGAUAUGAGCUCCUGCUGCAUGUUGUUGGUUGGCAAGGUUCGGCGGUUGGGGCUGGACUCGCGGCUUAUCCGCUUGUUUGUGGGGUAGUGGCUUACCAAGCCUUUGACGGGUAGCCGGCCUGAGAGGGGUACCGGCGACAAGGGGACUGAGAGAGGGAGCAGACUCCUACGGGAGGCAGCAGUGGGGAAUAUUGCAGAAUGGGCGGAAGCCUGAGGCAGAAACGCCGCGUGCGGGAUGACGGCCUUCGGGUUGUAAACCGCUUUCGACGGUGACGAAGAGUGAGUGACGGUAAUGGGUAAAGAAGCAACGGCUAACUACGUG
rnacentral:rRNA from 1 species